rnacentral:lncRNA from 1 species
UUUUUUUUUUUUUAAAUUAUUUCCCCAAUAUAAUCCUUUUUUCUACUGUGCAGCAUGGUGACCCAGGUAUACAUACAUAGAUAUGUUCUAUUUUCUCACAUUAUCAUGCUCCAUAAAUGAUGUAUUUUAAACUGAUUGAAAAAUUGAAAAUAAUCUCACCAACACUGUAGAAUUUAGAAGCAUUUUGAUAGCAUUGGGUGGCCCAAAGAUCAUUUAAAAUCUAUUAAGAUUAUGUGCAUCAAAGCCUUCCUUUUCUUUUGAUCAAUUUCCUUACAGCAAGAAAAGAUGGUUACCUUAAUGCUAUGGCUGUGUCCAAAAUUUAUUUUAUGACAGUUUUUUUAAAUUAAUAAACCUUUCAAAAGUAGCUACUGUCUUUCUGUACCUUCCAUGGGACAGAGAGCCACUGCUAAGCAUUAUACAUUCUAAAUGAUGUAACCUCAAAGAAGCAGCAUGCUCUAUAUAGCAUCAAGGAGGUCAGGGGUGUGGGCCUUGGGGCCAAAUCUUGGCUCUGUUCCUUAUUAACAUGUGAACCUGGGAAAUUUACUUAAUCUCCUCUAAAGUUAGUUUCAUUAGCUUCACUGGAGUAAUUAUACCAACCCCAUGGGAUUGUUAUGAGGAUGAAAAUGGCUACAUAUAAAUGUAAGACCUGGCUGCAAUUAGGCACUAAAUAAAUGGUAGCAGUGUAGUAACAAUAUUUUGCUCAUCACUAUCCGAGGACCAGGAGAUAAAACCUCAGGUGAGAGGAGUGAAGAAAUAGUGAAAGCUUCAUCACAUCUAUUUCUUGCUUGCCCUCUGUCCUCUUUGUAUUUCUCUAUUGUAGUAAGAAGUACAAGGGGUGGAGGACACUCUGGAAUGUUGGGAAGAGCCACAGCCAGGCUUUAGGCCUAGCUCAGGAUUUCAGGGAAAUAGGUGAAGCAGAUCAUUUUGCUUACUCUCCAGGCUAGCUCACCACAGUAGUAGAGCAGAGAUGGAGUCAGAAGUUUUAGUUAGGAGUGUAGACUAUGCCUAGGGCUGCGGAGUUUUCUGCAUUGCAUUUCCCAAGGCAUCUGAGAAAAACAACCUGUGACAAGAUGGGCUGCACAUUCAGGACUCUCAUCUUAGACAAUUCUUACACCAAUUAAAUUAGUAAUUUUUAAAAGUUCUAAAACCAUGUGUAGGUGGGCAAGGGGACCUAGGUAUACUUAUACUGGAAACACUACAAAUGAGUACACUUUCAAGACAGUAGAUGGAAUGAGAAUUAGGAGAGAAACACAAAAAUAAUCAUAUUGGUCAAGACUUCCUUUAUAUUUAGGUAAAAAAAUGCAUUCUUCUAUAACUUUGAAGGACUAGGGUUGCUGACAUUAUUGAAGAUUGAGCUGUUGCCCAUCUAGGGCCUAUAUCCUACAUCUCAAGAUCCAAGAGAAAGAGAGAGCUAUCUUUCCCUCAACAACGUGGACACUAAUUGGACACAUGCUCUCCCACCAAUAAGUGAGCCACUUGUCCAGUGGAAUACAGGACAACGAGAGACUUGCCAGUGAAGGUGUAUCCCAUGAAUGACCACACUCUCCAGGUGACUCUCCACCUCAGGCACUCCUCAAAGUAAAGAGGAGGGUGGCACCAGAUGACAGUGCAUGGGAAAGAAUCCUGCACAAAAUAAAAGUCAGCAUAAUUCAGUAUUUUAGUCAUGCCCAUGGCAGUGAGACUAUUUUUCCUGAGAUUAUAUCCUAAGAAGUAAGUUGAAACAGGGGUGGGCGCAGGUUUGUGUGAUUACUAUGCCAACACAUUGUAGGUGUGUAUGUUUCAACAGAAUAAAAACAACCUGGAAAUGGUCCACAGGUUCAAACACUGAGGAAAGGUAAAGGUACUUUGGAGUAUGGUAAUAAUAAGCCAUUUCAUUCAAUUCAAUGUAUUAAAUAUCAACAAUGUGAUAGUGGUAAUACAAGAAUGGAUAAGACAUGGGCCCUCCCAACCCCUAAGUGGUCACUACGUAGUGUUAUUGAUAAUAGAAAUGGGCAUUUUUGAGUACCUCCUAGUUGAUGGGCUGUGUGUCAGGAGCUGCAUUGUUAUACAAUCCUUUGAGCAAUAUUUUGAGAUAGGCACUUUUCUUCUAUCCAUUUUAUAGAGGAUGAAACUGAUUUUAACUUCUUUAAAUGUAUAUGGUUAAUAAAUGAUGAAAAUAGGACUCCACCCCAGGUUUUCUAAUCCCAAAGUUCACACAGUAAUAGGGUUUUACAAUAAAAUUCUAGGAGUUCCCAUCGUGGAUCAGCGGAAACGAAUCUGACUAGUAUCCAUGAGGAAGCAGGUUCAAUCCCUGGCCUCACUCAGUGGGUUAAGAAUUCAGCGUUACCGUGAACUGUGGUAUAGGUCAUAGAUGCAGCUUAGAUCUGGCAUUGCUGUGGCUCUGGUGUAGGCCAGCGGCUACAGAUCCUAUUCGACCCCUAGCCUGGGAACCUCCAUAUAGUGCAGGUGCGGCCCUAAAAAGACAAAAUAAAAAUAAAAUUCUAUAUGAACACAAAGAGAAUGACUAUUUUAUAGCUUCAACGAGUUAUAAGUUAACAUGCAAUAAGCUGAAUACACUUAAAAUAUAUAAAGUAUAAACUUGAUAAGCUUUGAAAUGCACCUGUAAAGCCAUCUGAUCGCUUCUCUGUAAUUAUAAAGUGCAAUUUCUAGAGUUUUAGAUUUGCUUGACUUCUUUGACUCAGCCUGAUUAUAUUGAAAUUCAUCCAUAGUGUUGUAUAUAUAAAAAUCUGAGUUCUUUUUACUGCUGAAUAGUAUUCCAUUGUUUGGAUAGACCACAAAAUAUUUAUCCACUCACCUGCUGAAGGAUUUCGAGAUCUUUUCAGUUUUAGGCUAUUACAAAUAAAACUAUGAAUGGUCUUAUGCAAGUCUUUGUAUGGACACAAGCUUUCAUUUCUCUUGGGUGAAUAUACCUAGGAGUGGAAAGGCAGGAUUCUAUGGUUAUAAUAAAAUUAUAUAAUUUUUAAGUUAAACUUUAUUAUUUUAAGGUAAUUGGAGAUUCGAAUGCAGUUGCAAAAAAAUGCAAAUAUCCUGUGUUUACUCAGUUUUCUCCCAAUAAUAAAUCUUGCAAAGCUAUACUAUAAUAUCAAAACCAGGAUAUUGGAGUUACCAUCAUAGCUCAGCAGUAAUGAACCCAACUAGUAUCCAUGAGACCUCGGGUUCAAUCCCUGACCUCGCUCAGUGGGCUAAAGAUCUGGAGUUGCUGUGAGUUGCAGUGUAGGUCACAGACGCGGCUCAGAUCCCGCAUUACUGUGGCUGUGGUGUAGGCCAGCAGCUAUAGCUCUGAAUCAGCCCCUAGCCUGGGAACUUCCAUGUGCCACGGGUGUAGCCCUAAAAAGACACAGCAAAACAACAACAACAAACACCCACCAGGAUAUUGACAUUAAGAAGGUCAAAAUACAUAAUGUUUCUAUCACCACAAGGAUUCUUGAUUUUGUCCUUUUAUAGCUACAUUCAUUUCCCUCCUUAACCAAACACUAAUUAGUUCUCCAUUUCUAGAAUUCAUUUCAAGAAUACUAUAUAAAUGGAAUAAUACAGUAUGUAGCCAUGGGGGUUAGCAAUUUUUACGCAGAAUAAUUCUCUGGAGAUUUAUCCUGGUUGCUGUAUAUAUCAAUAAUUCAUUCCUUUUUAUUGUUAAGCUGUAUUCCAUGAUAUGGAUUAACCACAGUUUGUUUAACCACAUUGUUUCCAAUUUUUGCCUGUUACAAAAAGGCUGCUAUAUACACUCAUGUACAAAUACUGAUAUGAACAUACUUCUUCAUUUUUCUGGGAUAAAUAUCCAGGAGUACAAUUACAUGGUUAUAUGGUACUUGCAUAGUGAGUUUAUGAAGACACUACCAAACUGUUUUCCAGAGUGGCUAUACCAUAUCACAUUCCCACCAGCAAAGUAUGAGUGAUCCAGUUUCUUCAUGUCAUGUUGCCAGUAUUUAGUGUUAUCAUUAUGUUUUCUUUCAGCCGAUGAAAAGAUUCAUGGUAACUUUGGUCACAUGCAAAUGCAAAUUAAAAUUGCAACAAAAUACUACUGUAGGCACACCAGAAUGGCUAAAUUUAAAAGACUGACAGUACCAAGCAUUAGUGAGGUUAUUGAGUAAUUAGAAUGCUCAAAAUGUAAAACCACUCUGAAAACAGUAUGUCCGCAUGUUAUAAAGCUAAAUACACACCUACCACAUAACUUUGUAAUCCCUCUCCUGGAUAUUUACCAAUGAAACAUGAAAGCAUACAUCCAUGUAAUAAUUGCACAUGUAUAUUCAUUUUUUUCAUAACACCCCCAAAUUUGGUUCAAAUGCCCAAGUCAUAAAUGGAUAAACAAAUUGUAGCACAUCCAUUUAAUGGACUAGUAUACAAUAUAAAAAGGAAUAAACUGAAUACAGCAACACUCAAAAGAUUAUGAUAUAUGAAAGAAUCCAGAUAUAAAAGGUGAUAAUGUUUCACAAAAGGCAAGAAUAUAUAGGGCCAGAAAAUAUAUUAAUUAUUCCAAAGGCCUAGGGAUGAAGUAAAGGGCUUUACCUCAGGAGGAGGAGAACUUUCAGGGAUAAUGGAAAUGGAAAAUUUUAUAGUAAUGUAUGUGUUUGUCAAAACUCACAAAUCAUACACCUUAAAAGAAUAAAAUUUAUUGGAUAUAAAUUAUAUGUCAAUAAAUCUGAAAAAAAUGUAAUCAGUUUUUGCUAUGGCAGUUGCAACUAAUUUAAAUUUGCAUCCCACAUUAUGAGAACACCUGUGCUUCUAUAUCCUGCUAAUAAGAGUAAUAUUAAACAAAGUUUUAAAUCUUUGUUAAUCUUAUAGGUUAGAAAAUAGUAUCCCAUUGCUUAUUUAACAUGUACCUUUUAUUUUCUGGAUGAGCAUUUAUUUUCACUCUUAGUAUUUUUUAUAUAUGAAAUGACAUUUUUUUUUAAUGUUAGCACCUGUGGCAUAUGGACGUUCCUGAGCCAGGGAUUGAAUCUGAGCAGCAGCUGUGACUUAUGCCCAAGCUGCAACCUAUGCCACAGCUGCAGCAACACCGGAUCCUUUCACCCACUGCACCUUGCCAGGGAUUGAACCCACACCUCUGCAGUGGCCUGAGCCACUGCAGUUGGGUCUUUAACCCACUGUGCCACAGAGGGAACUCCUGAAAAAACUUUUCAUAUAAUUUCCCAUAUUUCUACUGUCGGUGUCCAUCUUUUCCUACUGAGUUAUAAAAAGAACUUAAUGUGGAAUUUUAAAUGAAACUUUGUAAUGUACCUUCAGAUGUUUUUGCCAAUAUGCGUUAACUUUACUAUAUACAGUUUUCAUGGAAAUGUUACUAAUUUUAAACAGUCAGAUUUAUUUAUUCUUUUCCUUUAUAUAAUCCUGGUUUUAUAUCACACUAAGACAAGCUAUUCAUACUUCAAGAUUUCAUAUAGUAAUCUAUGUUUUCUUCUAGUACCUUAUGGAAUCAUUUUUACUGUAACAUAUAGCUUCAUGCAGAAUUUAUUUUGGUAUAAGUUGUCUGAACAUGACUUAUUUGAAGAAUCUGUCUUUUCCCCACUAAUGCCACAUAGUCAUAUACUAAACUUUCAUACCUAUUAGACCUCAUUUGUGGAUUAUAUUUUGUUUCAUUAAUGUUUUUAUUCAUAUGUGAUAAUUAUCCAUUAAUUGUUGGUAAUAUUCACAACCUUGCCCUAAGAAAGGAGUAUGCAUCUAUCCAUCUUCUAUUUGCAUUUUAUCACAAGAAAGCUAAGUGAUUUCUCAGCUUAGUAUUUUAAUAAGUCCUAUGCAAAGUGUAUCUUUCAAAUACACAAUUUUAUAUCCAUUACUGAGUGUUAUAUUUAUAUUAGAUCAAAAUAAUAACUCUGGGAGUUCCCGUCGUGGCGCAGUGGUUAACGAAUCCGACUAGGAACCAUGAGGUUGCGGGUUCGAUCCCUGCCCUUGCUCAGUGGGUUAACGAUCCGGCGUUGCCGUGAGCUGUGGUGUAGGUCGCAGAGUCGGCUCGGAUCCCGAGUUGCUGUGGCUCUGGCAUAGGCUGGCAGCUACAGCUCCUAUUAGACCCCUAGCCUGGGAAACUCCAUAUGCCGCGGGAGUGGCCCAAGAAAUAGCAAAAAGACAAAACAAAAAAAAACAAAAAAAAAAAAAAAAA